UGGAAGUAAAAGUCGUAACAAGGUCUCCGUUGGUGAACCAGCGGAGGGAUCAUUACCGAGUUUACAACUCCCAAACCCAAUGUGAACGUUACCAAACUGUUGCCUCGGCGGGAUCUCUGCCCCGGGUGCGUCGCAGCCCCGGACCAAGGCGCCCGCCGGAGGACCAACCUAAAACUCUUAUUGUAUACCCCCUCGCGGGUUUUUUUAUAAUCUGAGCCUUCUCGGCGCCUCUCGUAGGCGUUUCGAAAAUGAAUCAAAACUUUCAACAACGGAUCUCUUGGUUCUGGCAUCGAUGAAGAACGCAGCGAAAUGCGAUAAGUAAUGUGAAUUGCAGAAUUCAGUGAAUCAUCGAAUCUUUGAACGCACAUUGCGCCCGCCAGUAUUCUGGCGGGCAUGCCUGUCCGAGCGUCAUUUCAACCCUCGAACCCCUCCGGGGGGUCGGCGUUGGGGAUCGGCCCUCCCUUAGCGGGUGGCCGUCUCCGAAAUACAGUGGCGGUCUCGCCGCAGCCUCUCCUGCGCAGUAGUUUGCACACUCGCAUCGGGAGCGCGGCGCGUCCACAGCCGUUAAACACCCAACUCUGAAAUGUGAC
rnacentral:rRNA from 1 species